rnacentral:rRNA from 1 species
GUGCCAGCAGCCGCGGUAAUACGGAGGGUGCAAGCGUUGUUCGGAAUUACUGGGCGUAAAGCGCGCGUAGGCGGUUUGUUAAGUCAGAUGAGAAAGCCCAGGGCUUAACCCUGGACGUGCAUUUAAAACUGGCAGACUUGAGUAUUGGAGGGGGUGGUGGAAUUCCCGGUGUAGAGGUGAAAUUCGUAGAUAUCGGGAGGAAUACCGGUGGCGAAGGCGACCACCUGGCCAAAUACUGACGCUGAGGUGCGAAGGCGUGGGGAGCAAACAGGAUUAGAUACCCUGGUAGUCCACGCGGUAAACGAUGAGAACUAGGUGUUGGGACGGUUGAUCGUCUCAUUGCCGCAGCUAACGCAUUAAGUUCUCCGCCUGGGGAGUACGGUCGCAAGAUUAAAACUCAAAGGAAUUGACGGG